UCAAUCCCCAAGUAUUUAUUAAGCAUUUAUUAUGUGGUAGGAACUUUGCUAGAUACUAGGGACACAAAGACAAAAAUGAACCAAUCCCUGUUUUGAAGGAAAUUGCAUUCUAUCAGGGAAGAUAAUUGGACAGACAGAUACAUAGGUGAUAUGCAGAGAGAUAGAUAGAUACAUGGAUGUAUGGAUGGAGAGAUGGGUAGGUAGAUGGGUAGAAAAAUAAAUAAAUGGAUGGAUGGAUAGAUGGAUGGAUGGAUGAAUAAUUGGGUAGGUAGAUGGGUGGAUGGAUAGAUAGAUGGAUGACUGGACUGAUAAAUGGGUAGGUAGGUACUUGGAUGGAUGGAUGGAUGGAUGGAUGACAAACUGAGAUACGUACUGAGCUAAAUAGGAGAUAGAAGAGAGAUUGAUAGAAGAUAGUUGGAUAGAGAGAGAGAAGAAAGAGAGAAGAUAGACAUAAAUAGAAGACAGCAGAGUUGUAUACAAAUAUAAUGUACCCGAUUUAGAUGCAUAUGUUAUCAAUAUAAAAUGUAUUCAAUUUUGGCAGGCAGUUGCUAACCACUAGGGGGAUGACGCUGAGCUGAAUCUUGACAUAAAUCAGAGAUCCCCAGAGAUGGAGUGGAGGAAGGAGUGCACUCCUGGGCUGGGGGAUACAAUACAAAGACAUGGAGAUGGGAAAUGGAACACUGCAUGUGAGAAACAGCCAAAAGGCCAAUAGGCUGGACCACAGAGUGAUGGAGAGAAGUAGUCUGGCAGCCAGUUUGUGUCUUAGAGUUCUGGACUUGGAGUCAGGAAGAAAUUAAGCUAAAAUUCUGUCUAGACAAAUAGUAGCUGUGGGACUCUGAGCAAGUUCUUUUUUUUUUUUUAAUUGUAGUAAGUGUAUUUAUUUUUAAUACACAUUGCUUAAUGAAUCAUAUUGGGAGAGAAAAAUCAGAACAAAAGGGAAAAAUCAUGGGAGAGAUUAAGAAAAACCAGAAAAAAAGAAGUGAAUGUAGCAUAUGUUCGUUUAUAUUGUCUCCUUAGUUCUUUUUCUGGAUGCAGAUGGCAUUUUCUGUUCAAAGUCUAUGGAGAUUGCUUUAGAUCACUGAACUACUGAGAAGAACCAAGCCUUUCAUAGUUGAUCAUCACCCAUUCUUGCUGUUAUUGUGUACAAUGGUUCCGCUCAUUUCGCUCUGAGCAAGUUUCUUAACCUCUGCCUCAAUUCAAAAUGCAGAAUCUGUAAAAUGGAGGUCAUAAUUGCACCUAUCCUGUGAGAAUCCAAUGAGAUAAAAUCUAUAAAGUGCUAUAGGUAUAUGUGCUGGAAGGGUCCUUAGAGAACGUGGAGGACAACCUCGUUUUUACAGCCACUUCUCAGGAACCUGACCGUUUCUACUAUGACUAUGACUCUAUUCGUGUUGUGGGACUUACUCUGGCUACCAUCAUGUUUGUUCUG